AGUUCAGGACUAUCUCUGCAAACAUUAACUUAACUAGAUAAACACAUACACAACUUGUCUACCGUGUGGGAUAGUGGCCAGGAUGAAGGCAGUGGCCGUAAUUUGCGUUCUUGUUAUUGUAGCUGGAUUCCUUUGUGGCAGUCAUGCUACCUGCGCUCCAGGGUCUUUCCAAUGUUUUGAUGGCCGCCAGUGUGUAGCCUUGAGCAAGGUGUGUGACUACGUAGCUGACUGUGCUGACAGGUCUGAUGAGGCAACGUGUCUUUCAUGUGGGGCAGGUCAUCGCUUCUGCACCAGUGUCAAAAAAUGUGUUGCAAACAGCAAAUUCUGUGACGGUGUAGAUGACUGUGGUGACAAUUCUGACGAAAGAAAUUGUCCUGUUGCUACCCUAGGAUAAUGAAAGGCAUUUUAUCCAUUUGUGAGGUUACACCCUACCUAUAAAAGAAAAUAAACUGUAAACUGCUGAUGCAUAUGAAUAAAUUGUCUGUCUUUUCA
rnacentral:sRNA from 1 species